ACGGUGGCAGCACACGCUCCCUUUUUCGGUGCCGCAGGGGAAACGGGCUCCGGAGCUGCUGCUCCGCGCCCGGCUUCAGUCCUCCGUGGAAUGCUCCUCGGAGCGGUGCUUUUGGUUUUGCAAACGCCGCAGGCAUCACCUGCACACACAGAGCUCCUGCCCUCGCUUGGCCACCUGAAAUUCAGAGGGAGCUCUGCACACGGCCUCUCCGGUGCCCGAUCUCUGGAUCUCUCUCUAAGAGAUGGGGCUGUUCUCUGGAUAAAGCACGCCGGGGUUUGCUCUGUUGAAGAGCCCUUUUCUCCCUGGAUCUCCUCCUGGGCUGCAGCCAUCAGCCAAAACGGAAAGCACUGCUCAUCCUACCUCUUUUACCCCAGGUGCUGCUUUGCCCCCAGAUCAUUGAGGGAGGAGUUGUGGCUGCUGCCUGGGGUAUAAAGGCGCAGUGUUGCCGGGAGAGGCUCAUUCAGCUCUCGGGCUUCAGCGGGUUGAGUUCUCUGUGCUGUGCUUUGUGUUUUGUAGCUUUGGAGUCUUGCGGCGUUUUGUGCUGUUGUGCUGGGAUGUUUGCCGUAAUGGAAUCACCUGAGUGCGGAGCAUCAGGACCUCUCAAGGCUUCCCAGCAGCUCCCACCCGUAAGCACCAAAGAGUCCUCCUCAGCCUCGGGUCUGAGUCAGCUCCCCGGGCAUGGGGCAUUCUGUGCUGCAGGGAACAGAGCGUGCGGGCGACACGGGUCCUGCAUGGACACCUCGUUGCUGCUCUCGUCUGCGUGCGAUCAUCCAGGGUGAGACCAGGGGACAUACUAGGAAGACUGCUUGGGAUGCCUUCCGUCUUCUUCCUGCGUACCAGGAACUCUGUCAUCUGACGGUGAGUAAUACCUGUGUGC